rnacentral:rRNA from 1 species
GACGAACGCUGGCGGCGUGCCUAAUACAUGCAAGUCGAGCGGACUUGAAGGAGUGCUUGCACUCCUGAGAGUUAGCGGCGGACGGGUGAGUAACACGUAGGCAACCUGCCCUCAAGACUGGGAUAACUACCGGAAACGGUAGCUAAUACCGGAUAAUUUAUUACAUAGCAUUAUGUGAUAAUGAAAGACGGAGCAAUCUGUCACUUGGGGAUGGGCCUGCGGCGCAUUAGCUAGUUGGUGGGGUAACGGCCCACCAAGGCGACGAUGCGUAGCCGACCUGAGAGGGUGAACGGCCACACUGGGACUGAGACACGGCCCAGACUCCUACGGGAGGCAGCAGUAGGGAAUCUUCCGCAAUGGGCGAAAGCCUGACGGAGCAACGCCGCGUGAGUGAUGAAGGUUUUCGGAUCGUAAAGCUCUGUUGCCAAGGAAGAACGUCUCAUAGAGUAACUGCUAUGAGGGUGACGGUACUUGAGAAGAAAGCCCCGGCUAACUACGUG